rnacentral:rRNA from 1 species
GAUCUGGCUCAGGACGAACGCUGGCGGCGCGCCUAACACAUGCAAGUCGAACGAGCGAGAGAGAGUUUACUUUUUCGAGCGAGUGGCGAACGGGUGAGUAACGCGUGAGGAACCUGCCUCAAAGAGGGGGACAACAGUUGGAAACGACUGCUAAUACCGCAUAAGCCCACGACCCGGCAUCGGGUAGAGGGAAAAGGAGCAAUCCGCUUUGAGAUGGCCUCGCGUCCGAUUAGCUAGUUGGUGAGGUAACGG